GAUGAACGCUGGCGGCGUGCCUAAUACAUGCAAGUCGAGCGAACAGACGAGGAGCUUGCUCCUUUGACGUUAGCGGAGGACGGGUGUGUAACAUGUGGAAAACCUCCCUAUAUGUCUGGGAUAACUUCGGGAAACCGGCGCUAAUACGGGAUAAUAUAUUGAUCCGCAUGGUUCAUUGGUGAAAGACGGUUUUGCUGUAACUACUAGCUGGUUCCGAGCCGCAUUAGCUAGUUGGUAAGGUAACGGCUUACCAAGGCAACGAUGCGUAGCCGACGUGAGAGGGUGAUCGGCCACACUGGAACGGAGACACGGACCAGACUCCUACGGGAGGCAGCAGUAGGGUAUCUGCCGCAGUGGGCGAGAGCCUGACGGAGCAGCGCCGCGUGAGUGAUGAAGGUCUUCGGAGCGUAAAACUCUGUUAUUAGUGAAGAACAAAUGUGUAAUUAACUAUGCACGGCUUGACGGUACCUAAUCAGAAAGCCACGGCUAACUACGUG
rnacentral:rRNA from 1 species